rnacentral:rRNA from 1 species
UACGUAGGGUCCGAGCGUUGUCCGGAAUUACUGGGCGUAAAGAGCUCGUAGGUGGUUUGUCGCGUUGUUCGUGAAAACUCACAGCUCAACUGUGGGCGUGCGGGCGAUACGGGCAGACUGGAGUACUGCAGGGGAGACUGGAAUUCCUGGUGUAGCGGUGGAAUGCGCAGAUAUCAGGAGGAACACCGGUGGCGAAGGCGGGUCUCUGGGCCACUACUGACGCUGAGAAGCGAAAGCAUGGGGAGCGAACAGGAUAGAU